GGAGCUUUGCUGAAACUGCACAAAAAAUGGAGCUGGGGGGUUCCCUGGUCCCCGAUGUUGGGGCGGGGAGCGCGGCGCCGAGGGAGGGGGCGGCGCAGACCAGCCAAGGGGACACCUGGUCGAGCGCAGCCGCCGCUCCGCUCGAGCCCUGCGCUCCAGUGCCCCCAGUGCCCCCACUGGCUGGAGAGCUCGCCCAGACCGGGGGUCUUCCUCCCUCGCUGACAGAUUCUAACUGUUAGAAGAGUACCAAUUCUGGAAAACAACCAAAGUUUCUUUGAAUGAAUGCCCACGUAAUGCAUUGGAAUAUAAUAAGAGAUUAAGGUUUAACAAUGUUAAAAUGAAGAUAUUACUAAAAUGGCCCUCUAAAUAGCCCAACAAUUAUUAUUUUCAUUAUCCUAUGAAUUUGGCUUUGAAAGGUGUGCUGCUCUUAAUAAGUGUGUAGUGAUUAAGCCCAGGACCUCAGAGGGCUCUUCUACUAAACUACAUACCAGUUCCAAAAACAAAAAACAUUGACGCUACUUUUGUGCUGAAUAUUCCUCAGCCUUAGCUUACUAAUGCUUAUGCCCAAUGGAUCUUUCUUCGUGAAGCACCCUCCCCUCCCCCCCAUUUAUCUUUGGUGAUUCUAAUAAAUAAUACCUUUGGAAAA
rnacentral:lncRNA from 1 species